ACGGUCAUUUCCUGUUUUGCAACUGUGGCGUCUCCGGCAACUAUGACAACAGAAGUUUUAAUAUGGGUGGGUUGACGCCACUAAAGAAGAAAAAUUUGGCCUGUAAAAUGCCACCGAAAGUGCUGAAAUGCACUGUGGAGGUGUACAUUCAAGCUAUUACCUGCCCAGGAGUGUUGCUUCCUAACCAUCCAGAUGUAUACCUAAGUGUUUGUGUCAUGGGACAAUACCAGAAGACUCUUUGUGUGCCUCCAGUCUUCCCACUGUUAUUCCAUGAAAAGAUGUCAUUUGAGAAGGCCUUUUCAGAAGCCAUUGACCCAAGUGACAUUGCUGAUCUCCUAGAGCUUGACACCACUUCCUUUGAGCUGAUUCAGCUUGUUCCCCCAGAAGGAGAAAUCUUGGCCACAGUGGAGGAGAACACUCGGGACUUUCUGUAUCCAGGUCCCAGACUGACCCCCAGAGCCUCCGGUCCUGAGAGAGAGCUACUAAUGAAGAGAUCCAUCACUUUCCCUGGAAUUUCUCCGAAAAUAGAAUUCUCAACAACUUCUAUCAUUGAGGAAUGUGAAUUGAAAGAUGGCCAGGCCGCCACCCCUGCUUCCCGUCGAUCUCCAGUUAAACCUCAAUCUGGCAGGGGGACCAAGAAGAACCCAGGGUGUGCUGCGAAAAGAACACCACAGGCCGCUGUAUCCAGUAGCUAUGAGCAUCCAACGGUGGCUUCCGAAUCGCGCUCCCCCUCCCCCUACACGCAUCGCCGCAUGUGCCAGCUCUCCGAGGACAACAGGCAGCGGCUCGGCCACCUACAGCUGGGCCCUUACAAGUUUAAGAAGGAGUCGGAGAGCCAGCCCCCCUUCGUGGUUCCCCGGUCUCUGAGCGCUUCCUUAAACGAGUCCACUUCGUCCCAGCUCCCCUCCUCUCCAAAGAGAAGUCUGUCUGCCAGCUACACUGCAGACUGCACGCCAGAUCCCUCCCUCCUCGGCAGUUACAGACCAAAGCCUGCUAGAGGACGAGUACAAACAAAUCUUAAGGUGAACAUCGCCCCCCUCAAGGUGCAGGAGUUCCCCAGAGAGUCUCCAGCAAAGAUGUGCAGCAGCACCCCUAGUGGCCGUUCACUGGCAGUGCAGUCUACCCCAGCAUCCAGCAAAAAGGUUUCCCAGAGCCCCCUGCUCAGCCGCUCCUCCCUCAGGGAAAGGUUCCAGAACAGUCCGUCCAGCCCCAGUCAGUGGGAAGAGAUACACCGUAGAGUUCAGAGAUUGCUGCGGACCAAUGGUGCACACAGAAGCCUCACGUUUGACCAGGAGAGUGCGCGGGGGGAACGCGCCCGCCGUGAUGACACUCUGCAUGACAGCCCGGUCCUCCAGGACAGCACCAUGAUCCCUGGUGAAGCCUCCGUCCAUCUGGGCAACGGGAAUUUCUGGUCCAACCGAGCCGCCCAGUACAGAGGGAAGCCCCACAGAGCGGUGUUUGAGGACAGCCUGGGCCAGAUAUACAAGAACCUGUACAAGCAGGCCUCCAGUACCAACUAGGAAUGGAGUCAUCAAUCCACCACUGACAUCAGCUGCAAUGUGACCAGCCCCUGAAUAACACUGAACUGGAUAACAAUCACUCCAAGCGUAAAAAUAUCUGUCAAGAUUCAGAUAAAUAACUGAGGUUUCUGCUGACAUACAGGAGCGCAUGGCUUAAUUUUCUGCACUGCUAAGCACUCCUCCUCCUCUCCGUGCCGCUGACCUUUUCCCACUUCGUUUGGCGUCCUCGUUUGAGCGGAAUCUUCCGGAUCAGCUCGAAUGCUGAAACACCCCGCUGUAUCCUCAGCAGCAGCGUCUCCCGAGGUGCUCAUCGCAUGCAGCGAGGCACAAUUCCCAGCGUUCCCCGCACUGCACCAGGACGCACGGAAUCGCAGAAAUCACAGCCUCACAACGCUGCAGCCCCUGCCGUUUCAUUCUGCCCACGGCCGUUUGAGCCUCAAGCUGAAAUGUCAUCGCUAAAAACACGCAAUGAAAGAUGCUGUAAAUUACCAAUAUGGAGUUUAUAUAUUUAUUUACAUUUAUUUAGCAUGCUUUGUAUGGAGUGCCACAAUGAUAAAUAUAAGAAUAAAUGUGGAAGUAUAAAUAUUGAUAGAAAUAUGUAUCUGGAAAUGUAUAUAGAAAUAAUGUAGUUUUUCUUUUUAAUAUUUAUUUUCGCAUAUUUAUAAAUGAAUGAAUAUAUUAAUUUAGGUCUACUUCACUAUCUUCAUACAUAUUUUCACAUUAAUUUCCAUAUAUGGUUCGCUAUAUAUCUCUGCUUUUCUCAUUUUGCAGCAGACACACCAUAAAACAGUGUCAAACUACUUUUGGAUA